AACUUCACUAAACUAUAGGGGCUGUUUGGUAAUUUUAUUUAUUAAGUGGGAUUGUUUUGGUAAAGAAAAUACCAAAGGAAUGGUUGUUUUGAAUAAAUGGAUUAGAUGUUUGGGGUUUGGGACUUUUUUUUAAAAAUGAAUGUUGCAGCAGGGGUUAUUUGGUCAUUUUAUCGAAGUUGGAAGGACUUAGGGUUUUUUUGUCCGACCUUAUUUUUGAUCGGUCAAAUAGAAGGGACGAUCGCAAGUAGAACAUGAACGAAUGAUUGCAGUCAAGAAAGAGGCGCAUGAAGCCAUCGACGAUGCUUCUGAUUCCUUGCUCGUCGCAGGCCACAAAGAGGACCAAAGGAAAGAAAAAGCUCGCACGAGGAGGCGGAGGCGGCGAUCUCCGAGGAACCCUUCCUGGGUUGCGCAUCUUGUAGCCGACAGCAGUCAAGCAAGGAGGAGGCACCUCUCGUGCUUGGUUGGACCGGAUAAAGGGAUAAGAAGCAGGGCAGCGAGACUGUCCUCGAUGGUUCUCGUAGCACCACCACUGCCAAUGGUUCAUGACAUGGGACCAAGAAACAGGAAUGGAAACAAGAAAUGGCUACUAUGAAGUCGAUAGGAAGAAUGGGGAAUCGAGAGGGGGUUGUUGCCCUCUUGGUGUAUUCCUGGCAGCAAUCGAAGGACAAACAGAAGCAGAAGGCUUUGCGUGUGAUUAAGUGAAAGAUGAAGUAUGUAAGAAAAGUUAUGGUUUUGGCUGUCAAUUGAAAGAGGAAAGAGGAAAGAGUUGUGUAUAGUAUUGGUUAAGUUGAAAUGUGGAAAAAAAUAAUAGCUUUUAAUUUGUUUUCUUUUGCCCAAAAUUGUAUAUAUAUUUGGUUGGAUAAUCUUAUUUAUACAACAAAAUUACCUUAGUUAUACACA